AGUAUAUGCAGGAUGAAUGCAUGUGAUACACGCAUGCAAUGGAUUCAUCGCGGUGGACAGUGCAGUUUUCAAUAUAAAUAUUACUUUAAGAUGCUGAAAAACUGAGGAAACCUGAAAGGUGAUGCAAUUAGUUCAACCCCUUUCCCCUCACAUAAAGCGAUUAUGUCAAGAGAAUCCAGGUGAACUGUGGACAAUUGAUUGAUGCAGUCAGGAUCUGAACCUCGACCCAUUCAUGGUGAUUUCAGCUCUGCCUAUAACAUCGUGUUCCCUCUUUCUGUGAGAAUCUAUGUGAAUUAUCUUUAAAACGGUAAAGCCACAGAAAUUAUCUUGUGAUGAGCGCUUAGAACAAUGCAUGGCGUGAACUCCAUGAAAUAAAAGAUGUGGAUUGUGAGGAACGAUUUGGGCAUCUCUUGGACAGAGGGAGCAGACCCCGUGGGCCCAAAGCCACUCUUCUAAGUGCACAGUGCAAAGGGCCAUUUAUCAUCGCAUCUGAGGCUGAUUGCUUCCGAGUCCUUUAAACUGCUGUCCUGGAGUCCGUGGAAUGCUGUCCCCAACUAUGUCAGACAUUGAUCCAGCACCCACAUCUCCAUCUUAGACUGCUUCCUAGAGACUCCACUGUAAGGCCACUGGUACCAGAAGUGCACUAAGGAUGUAGACUCUAAAGUGAGGCACUGGCAUGAAUCCUACAUCAGUGAUAUGUAAAAAUGAAGAUUUAUCAUAGCUGGACCAGAGAUAAUUAAAGGUGGCCUCGGACUAAGGAGUAGCGGCAGAUGCUCCUUCUAAUCUCUAAUCGGUGGGAGCGCGGAGGGCGUGGCUCCCGGGCAGAUGCUCAGGGUGUAGACUGGUUUCCUAGCCUUUCCAGCAGGAAAUGAGAGGAACACAGCAUGAGCACGAUAACGAAGCUGAGACCAGCAUGAGGAGAAGCUGUAGGACAGACACAUCCUUCAUCCUUCAGACAUGCAGUCGCAGUCACUCUUCAGGCUGCAUCACAAAAUGUGUGUCCAUUCGGAAGGCUGUUAGGGACUCUCGGAUCUAUCAACUGGAGGUAACGAUGCCGCCAGAGGAAAUCCACCUGAAGGACAUCAUGCAACACAAGCAUCAUUAUUAUGCUGCUACACAUGGCUCGCUGGCUGAUUAACCACAAACACGGGGUCAAAAACGGUUUUUACACGCUGCUGCUAAAUGGAAAAUGAAAAAUAAACGUGUAGGCAUCA